ACUGAAUAGAUACCCGGGUAGUCCACGCCGUAAACGAUGGAUGCUAGCUGUUAUCAGUAUCGACCCUGGUAGUAGCGAAAGCUAACGCGUUAAGCAUCCCGCCUGUGGAGUACGAGCGCAAGCUUAAAACAUAAAGGAAUUGACGGGGACCCGCACAAGCGGUGGAGCGUGUUGUUUAAUUCGAUGGUAAGCGAAGAACCUUACCCAGGCUUGACAUCCUGCCAAGUUCUCCGAAAGGAGAGUGUGCCUUCGGGCCGCAGUGACAGGUGAUGCAUGGCCGUCGUCAGCUCGUGUCGUGAGAUGUUUGGUUAAGUCCAUCAACGAGCGCAACCCUUAUAGUUAGUUGUAUUUCUCUAGCUAGACUGCCCUGGUAACA
rnacentral:rRNA from 1 species